rnacentral:rRNA from 1 species
UACGUAGGGUGCAAGCGUUGUCCGGAAUUAUUGGGCGUAAAGAGCGUGUAGGCGGCCCCAUUAGUCCGCUGUGAAAGUCCAGGGCUCAACCCUGGAAUGCCGGUGGAUACUGUGGGGCUAGAGUCCGGAAGGGGCGAGUGGAAUUCCUGGUGUAGCGGUGAAAUGCGCAGAUAUCAGGAGGAACACCAAUGGCGAAGGCGGCUUCCUGGUCUGCGACUGACGCUGUGGCGCGAAAGCUAGGGGAGCAAACGGG